rnacentral:tRNA from 1 species
GCUCCAGUAGCUCAGUUGGAUAGAGCACUUGCCUUCUAAGCAGGGGGUCGGAGGUUCAAUUCCUCCCUGGGGCA